UGUAGGCGGUCUUUCAAGUCCGAUGCUAAAGACUGGGGCUCAACCCCAGGGGUGCGUUGGAUACUGUGAGGCUAGACGGUCGGAGGGGGUAGCGGAAUUUCCGGAGUAGCGGUGAAAUGCGCAGAUACCGGAAGGAACGCCAAUAGCGAAGGCAGCUACCUGGACGACUUGUGACGCUGAGGCGCGAAAGCGUGGGGAGCAAACCGGAUUAGAUACCCGGGUAGUCCACGCCCUAAACCAUGAGUGCUGGGUGUCCGGCUUCUGCUGGGUGCCGUAGCUAACGCGCUAAGCACUCCGCCUGGGAAGUACGCACGCAAGUGUGAAACUCAAAGGAAUUGACGGGGGCCCGCACAAGCGGUGGAGCAUGUGGUUUAAUUCGAAGCGACGCGAAGAACCUUACCAGGCCUUGACAUGCCCGGAACCCCUCUGAAAGGAGGGGGUGCCCGCAAGGGAGCCGGGACACAGGUGCUGCAUGGCCGUCGUCAGCUCGUGUCGUGAGAUGUUGGGUUAAGUCCCGCAACGAGCGCAACCCCUAUCCCUAGUUGCCAGCAGUUCGGCUGGGCACUCUAUGGAGACUGCCUGCGAAAGCAGGAGGAAGGCGGGGAUUCACGUCUGGUCCGCAUGGCCCUUACGGCCUGGGCGACACACGUGCUACAAUGCCAAGGACAGAGCGCUGCUACCUCGCGAGAGGACGCCAAUCGCAAAAACCUUGGCUCAGUUCGGAUUGGAGUCUGCAACUCGACUCCAUGAAGCCG
rnacentral:rRNA from 1 species